rnacentral:rRNA from 1 species
UGGUUAACCUACUCUGAACACACCUGAUCUUGGAAGCUAAGCAGUGUCAGGCCCAGUUAGUUCUUGGAUGAAUGAAGGUUGCUACACAUU